rnacentral:lncRNA from 1 species
CUUGAGUGUUGGGAUGGUACCCAGCUAUCUCUUACCCUAGGAAAGGGCAAUGUCAAAAGUGGGCCUCACAUCCCCCGUUCUGCCCUGAGGUACUACACAGCAACACAGACCCUUAGCUUUUGGAUGGAGAAAAACUUUUGUCUUGGGCUAGCCUCAAACACCUCCCUGGUGCUGCUCUUUCCUGCAGGAGUUUUUGUUUUGUUUUGUUUGUUUAUAAAGGGUGCCUUUUUAAGGUUUAUGUUCCAAUCAGUUUCAGCCAGUAUACCCACCCCUAAAACAAACCACCAGAAAGCAAGAUGCAGGUGGCUUAUGUACUUUUUGUCCCCAGGUAGGUGUUAGCUGCCUGGUAUGUAUUUUUGAAACCCCCUUUAAAUUUGCC